rnacentral:rRNA from 1 species
AUUAUCAUUAAUCGUACCCCAAACCGACACAGGUGGUCAGGUAGAGAAUACUCAGGCGCUUGAGAGAACUCGGGUGAAGGAACUAGGCAAAAUGGUGCCGUAACUUCGGGAGAAGGCACGCUGGCAUUAGGUGAAGUGAUUUACUCAUGGAGCUGAAGCCAGUCGCAGAUACCAGCUGGCUGCAACUGUUUAUUAAAAACACAGCACUGUGCAAACACGAAAGUGGACGUAUACGGUGUGACGCCUGCCCGGUGCUGGAAGGUUAAUUGAUGGGGUUAUCCGUAAGGAGAAGCUCUUGAUCGAAGCCCCAGUAAACGGCGGCCGUAACUAUAACGGUCCUAAGGUAGCGAAAUUCCUUGUCGGGUAAGUUCCGACCUGCACGAAUGGCGUAAUGAUGGCCAGGCUGUCUCCACCCGAGACUCAGUGAAAUUGAACUCGCUGUGAAGAUGCAGUGUACCCGCGGCAAGACGGAAAGACCCCGUGAACCUUUACUAUAGCUUGACACUGAACAUUGAGCCUUGAUGUGUAGGAUAGGUGGGAGGCUUUGAAGCGUGGACGCCAGUCUGCGUGGAGCCAACCUUGAAAUACCACCCUU